rnacentral:rRNA from 1 species
AUUGAACGCUGGCGGCAGGCCUAACACAUGCAAGUCGAGCGAGCGGCGGACGGGUGAGUAAUGUAUGGGAAUCUGCCUGAUGGAGGGGGAUAAUUACUGGAAACGGUAGCUAAUACCGCAUACUAUCGGAUGUACCCAUAUGGGAUUAGCUAGUAGGUGGGGUAAUGGCUCACCUAGGCGACGAUCCCUAGCUGGUCUGAGAGGACGACCAGCCACACGGGAACUGAGACACGGUCCAGACUCCUACGGGAGGCAGCAGUGGGGAAUAUUGCACAAUGGGCGAAAGCCUGAUGCAGCCAUGCCGCGUGUGUGAAGAAGGCCUUCGGGUUGUAAAGCACUUUCAGCGGGGAGGCGUUACCCACAGAAGAAGCACCGGCUAACUCCGUGCCAGCAGCCGCGGUAAUUC